CUCCUAUAAGAGGGCUUUGGGGUUCACUAUUGAUUUAUGUCAGAGUUUUCACAACCUGUUCAUCAAACUGGUUCUUCUACAGUGCUCUCGACCGCCAAAGAAAUCUUCACUACACCCACUACUUCUCAACACUGUCAGAUCCCUGCGAAACCAUAAGAAGAAGAAACUCCUCUGCUAACGGAAGCGGUGUUGGAGGCGUGAUCUUUGGCACUCAGACGCUGAAUCUUCUCCAUCUCAUAUUAAUCGGCCCAGUGAUCGAAAACUCUAUCAAAACUUCAUAACUUCCCAUAGGGCAAACUCGCUCUUUCUCACUCGGCCAUGUGGAGAAAUUCGCUGAGUUUUUCAUCCAAACUCGCACGCUCCAAUUCGAAUUAUUAACUCCACUCUUGUUCCGCACUUCCUCAAAACCUUCUUAUCGUGGCCUUCCUAGCCGAUCUAAUUCCACAAGCCUACAGUCCACAUUGACAGCCGUUCCGGUAGGUGGUCCGAUUUCGGUGUGGAAGGCUAGGGAUGUGGCGUAAUUGGCCAAGCAUUGCGACUUCUGUUAUUGGGAGCUCUCAAAAGCUCAUCUGAGGUGUGUUUAAACUGGUUUACACCUUUAUUUUUUUUUUUCCAACAAAUUUCAAUUUUGAGAUGUUGGAAUUUCGUGACCUCAAGCAUAAUGCUUGAAACGUAGAUCCAUCUUAUUGGAGAAAUUGGUUGGUUUAGAACAUAUUUUAAGCGCAUUUUGCGGUCAAAUUGCUCAAUUUUCUGGUUGCUAAUGGAUUUCUAAUAUUUGUUUUUGCUAAUUGAAACGUGCUAUUAAUGUACUUUGUGAUGUGUAUUUGAGAGCUUCGGCAAUAUGUUCAGAUUUCAAAGAGCAAAUGUAAAAAUAAAAGAAGGCCUAUUGACUGUGAUUACCCUAUAUGUAUGUCUGUUUGCAAUAGUUUUUGUCACUUAAAAUAGAUCAAAGCUACUUUUAUUUGACAUAACUGGCUGAAGAAUUUACAACUUCUGCAUUUGGAGUAGAGGCCCUACAGGGUAAGGGAGAGAAAGGUAGUAGUUGAUAAUCUGCACAACAUGCUACCUACAAUGCAUAGUUUUGUCCAUUUUCCUCCACUCUACUAUAAUUAAUUAUGAACUUUUUGUGCUUCCAGUCCUCAACUCUACUGCUGCCGCCGGCGGGUCGCCUUGAACAGGCAAGC
rnacentral:lncRNA from 1 species